AGAGUUUGAUCAUGGCUCAGAACGAACGCUGGCGGCGUGGAUAAGACAUGCAAGUCGAGCGAGAUUUUUUCUUGUAGCAAUACAGGGAAAAGUCUAGCGGCGAACGGGUGCUUAACACGUGGGCAACCUGCCGUGAAGUGGGGGAUAGCUCGCCGAAAGGCGAAUUAAUACCGCAUGUGAUUAGAGAGGACAUCCUUUCGAAAUUAAAGUCGGGGCAACCUGACGCUUCUUGUGGGGCCCGCGGCCUAUCAGCUAGUUGGUGAGGUAACGGCUCACCAAGGCUUUGACGGGUAGCUGGUCUGAGAGGACGACCAGCCACACUGGGACUGAGACACGGCCCAGACACCUACGGGUGGCAGCAGUCGAGAAUUUUUGACAAUGGGGGAAACCCUGAUCGAGCGACGCCGCGUGGAGGAUGAAGGUCUUCGGAUUGUAAACUCCUGUCAUUGGGGAACAAGGUGCAUACGUUAACUGCGUGUGUAUUGAUAGUACCCGAAGAGGAAGGGACGGCUAACUCUGUGCCAGCAGCCGCGGUAAUACAGAGGUCCCAAGCGUUGUUCGGAUUCAUUGGGCGUAAAGGGUGCGUAGGCGGCGCGGUAAGUCGGGUGUGAAAUCUCGGAGCUUAACUCCGAAACUGCAUUCGAUACUGCCGUGCUUGAGGACUGGAGAGGAGACUGGAAUUUACGGUGUAGCGGUGAAAUGCGUAGAUAUCGUAAGGAAGACCAGUGGCGAAGGCGGGUCUCUGGACAGUUCCUGACGCUGAGGCACGAAGGCCAGGGGAGCAAACGGGAUUAGAUACCCUAGUAGUCC
rnacentral:rRNA from 1 species